ACUGGGUGGGGUGGAGGGAUUGAGGAGGGAGCGGUCUGAGUCUCCUGGUCUCCGUUUCUGCUGCCCUCGGUCUCUCUCAGCCUCUAUCCUACCAGGGGUGCAUGGAGAGGCAGUUUGAGGGCAGCCAGGAGAUAUUCUUGGAGUCCUUGAGGUUCAGCGUGGACAAUGAAGUUGCCAUGGAAGGAAGUCACAGGCGGCCACAAGAAGGUGACAUUUGAGGAUUUGGACGGGGAUGACCUGACCCCUCCCCCAUACUGGAUAAUGACGCGCCUGCCUCCCAGUGCUCUGCCAGGACCUGAGGCUGCCUUGAUGCCCAAUCCAGGACCAGGGGAAGUUCCUGCCCUGCUCUUCCACCAGCUCUCCCGGAGUUCGUAGAGCUGCCACCUUGGCAGGCUCCGAUCCCAUCGAUGGAGACCUCUGGUCAGUGCCCCCAGAAUUCUACCUCAGCUGGACCUCCUAGACUGUAUCCACCUCUCCCAGUGAGUACUGAUGGGAAGGGGGAAGAAAACACAGCCAUUAGACAGAGGCUGCACUCCGCCAAGGAACAAGGGGAAAGAACCCCACUACAGAUGCCCCUCAGAGAGUACAACAGCCUCCAGUUCAGGACGCAUGGGGCACUACCGUCCACCCCCUGUAGCCUAUUAUUAUCAACCAUUUUCCUCUACGGAUAUAUUAAACUGACAGAGACACGCUCCACCAUACUCGGGGGAGCCACAAGCCACGAUUAGGCUAAUGGAGACUAUUUUUCAAACCCACCGCCCUACAUAGGAUGACAUAAUCCAACUACUAGGCUCCCUUUUCAGCACUGAGGACAGACACAGGAUCCUAACUGAGGCCAGAAAAUGGUUAAGAG
ensembl:lncRNA